rnacentral:rRNA from 1 species
UACGGGGGGGGCAAGCGUUGUUCGGAAUUACUGGGCGUAAAGGGCUCGUAGGUGGCCAACUAAGUCAGACGUGAAAUCCCUCGGCUUAACCGGGGAACUGCGUCUGAUACUGGAUGGCUUGAGUUUGGGAGAGGGAUGCGGAAUUCCAGGUGUAGCGGUGAAAUGCGUAGAGAUCGGCAGGAACACCCAGGGGGAAACCAGUCGACUGGGCAUCAGCUGACGCUGAGGUGCGAGAGCGUGGGGAGCGAACCGG